UCUUAAACAACCUUAUAUGAGCAGUUCUCUUCUCAGGCUACUCUAGCACAGCUGUGGCCAGCUGCACUCAGCCUUCAGCCCAGCCAUGGAUUAUAUACCAGAUGAUUCCUGUUCAUUGAAAAUACUGGAAACAACAAGGAAUACAUCACACUGCCGAGAAAUUGGAUCCACCCAGAGAGACCAAAGGAAAGCUAUGACAUUUGAGGAACAGGCAAACAUUUCUCCUGCAAGCAUUUACUGAAGCAGUAUGUUUUCUUUUCUUCUCUGUCCAAGACUAUAAAAACAAGUUUGGAUACUCCACCGGAAUGCUGUCACAGUUCUGAAUUUGGAAACUGAUAUUACCAUGUCCGUAAAGGACAAAGAAUGGAGGCUCCAAAUGUUGUAAUGAGUAACGCUUUUUAAAACUCAGAAAACUGACCAACAUCUGAGAACUAACUUGAUCCAGCCAAAUAUUUCUGGGUAUAAGAAGAGGCAAUGAUAAUUAGAAUUGCUGCUUGUAGAUAGGUAGUUUAAACUACACACAGUAGCUGGAUGUCUUCAAGGUAAAAGCAACUGAAGAGCAUUAGUGUUCAAGUAUCAUUAACCUCUCCAAAACGUUUCUUGGCAAACGGUUCUGAAGGCCUUCACUGAGUUUCUGUCAUUCUUCCCCUCCUUCUGUUCUAUGUCUUCCCACACUCAGUGAGUGGAACAUUUGGAUCAUUUUUAAAUUGUGUGAGGGAAGAGACCAAGAAAAAAAAUAAUUGAAGAACAGGGCAACUCUCUAGUAGUAAUAAAUAUUUAACUUGAAAAAUGCCUAAGAAUAAAUAUCAUCUAUAUAGGCACAUACAAGACUGUGGCACUCCUCUUUUGUUCACAUGUAGGAUCUUAGAAAAAAUAACCCCAAUAUUUUACUAUGAAAGAUUAUAGGUACCUAUGUUU
rnacentral:lncRNA from 1 species